CCCGCAUGGGGAUAUUUGCUAAAGAUUCAUCGCUGAUAGAUAGGCAUGCGUUCCAUUAGGCAGUUGGCGGGGUAACGGCCCACCAAACCGACGAUGGAUAGGGGUUCUGAGAGGAAGGUCCCCCACAUUGGUACUGAGACACGGACCAAACUCCUACGGGAGGCAGCAGUGAGGAAUAUUGGUCAAUGGGCGUAAGCCUGAACCAGCCAAGUCGCGUGAGGGAUGAAGGUUCUAUGGAUCGUAAACCUCUUUUAUAAGGGAAUAAAGUGCGGGACGUGUCCCGUUUUGUAUGUACCUUAUGAAUAAGGAUCGGCUAACUCCGUGCCAGCAGCCGCGGUAAUACGGAGGAUCCGAGCGUUAUCCGGAUUUAUUGGGUUUAAAGGGUGCGUAGGCGGCCUUUUAAGUCAGCGGUGAAAGUCUGUGGCUCAACCAUAGAAUUGCCGUUGAAACUGGGGGGCUUGAGUAUGUUUGAGGCAGGCGGAAUGCGUGGUGUAGCGGUGAAAUGCAUAGAUAUCACGCAGAACCCCGAUUGCGAAGGCAGCCUGCCAAGCCAUUACUGACGCUGAUGCACGAAAGCGUGGGGAUCAAACAGGAUUAGAUACCCUGGUAGUCCACGCAGUAAACGAUGAUGACUAGCUGUUUGCGAUACACUGUAAGCGGCAC
rnacentral:rRNA from 1 species